ACUCCUACGGGUAGGGCAGCAGUAGGUAAUUUUGCCGCAAUGGACGAAAGGUCUGACGGAGCAAUGCCGCGUGAGUGAUGAAGGUUUUCGAAUCGUAAGCUCUGUUGUAAGGGAAAGAAUAGCAAGAAUAGGAACUGAUUCUGUCUGACGUGCCUUACCAGAAAGGCCACGGCUAACUACGUGCCAGCAGCCGCGGUAAUACGUAGGUGGCAAGCGUUAAUCCGAAUUAUUGGGCGUAAAGCGCAUGUAGGCGGCUCUUUAAGUCUGAUGUGAAAAGGCCCUGUGGCUCAACCACAGAAUUGCAUUGGAUACUGGAGAGCUAGAAUCUUGGAGGUAGGUAAGUGGAAUUUCAUGUUGUAGCGGUGGAAUGCGUAGAUAUAUGAAGGAA
rnacentral:rRNA from 1 species